UACGUAGGGUGCGAGCGUUGUCCGGAAUUAUUGGGCGUAAAGCGCGUGUAGGCGGCUUUGCAAGUCGGGUGUGAAAGCCCUCGGCUCAACCGAGGAAGUGCGCCCGAAACUGCAGAGCUUGAGUACCGGAGAGGAUGGCGGAAUUCCCCAAGUAGAGGUGAAAUUCGUAGAUAUGGGGAGGAACACCGGUGGCGAAGGCGGGCCAUCUGGACGGAUACUGACGCUGAGACGCGAAAGCGUGGGUAGCAAACAGG
rnacentral:rRNA from 1 species